AGUGAACGCUGGCGGUAGGCCUAACACAUGCAAGUCGAACGGCAGCACAGUAAGAGCUUGCUCUUACGGGUGGCGAGUGGCGGACGGGUGAGGAAUACAUCGGAAUCUACUUUUUCGUGGGGGAUAACGUAGGGAAACUUACGCUAAUACCGCAUACGACCUACGGGUGAAAGCAGGGGAUCUUCGGACCUUGCGCGAUUGAAUGAGCCGAUGUCGGAUUAGCUAGUUGGCGGGGUAAGGGCCCACCAAGGCGACGAUCCGUAGCUGGUCUGAGAGGAUGAUCAGCCACACUGGAACUGAGACACGGUCCAGACUCCUACGGGAGGCAGCAGUGGGGAAUAUUGGACAAAGGGCGCAAGCCUGAUCCAGCCAUACCGCGUGGGUGAAGAAGGCCUUCGGGUUGUAAAGCCCUUUUGUUGGGAAAGAAAGGCAGCAGGUUAAUACCCCGCUGUUCUGACGGUACCCAAAGAAUAAGCACCGGCUAACUUCGUG
rnacentral:rRNA from 1 species